GCAUGACCAACCAGAGGUGCAGGGUUUGGCAGCUACACUAUCAACUGAAAUAUGUGCAAAUAAUACUCCCAUUGGGUUGUUUUCCAUGGCUAAAUAAAACUACUGAAGAGUAAAUUGAGAACGUGAAAAAGAAGGAAGAGUGGAUGGAGAGUGGUGGUGGUGUUGUGGCAUCUGGUGGACUUGGUGAUACACCAACUCUGAAGUCUAAAGCUCUUGGAAUUUUGAGAGGGGAAAAUGCUAUUGAAUGUUAGUGCCAGAGGUUGCGAGCAAUGAUAGCAAGUCAACUCAUCCCAUGAUUGCUGCGUGGAUUUCGGGGGUUCAAACCCUGUUAAACCAAUCCCAGAAACUAUGUCAGAAUAUUAAAAUUUUCCCGAGGAAGAAAUUUCCAAAGAAAUGGAUGGGAAAAAGUUUUAUGUUGGAAAUAAGAAAGUGGCAAUACUAACUCUUACGUCCAUAAAUUUUAUCAA